AAGACUGGAAUUGCUAGUAAUGGCAGGUCAGCAUACUGCCGUGAAUACGUUCCCGGGCCUUGUACACACCGCCCGUCACACCAUGAGAGUUGGGAAUACCCGAAGCCUGUGAGCUAACUUUUUAAGAGGCAGCAGUCGAAGGUAGAAUCAAUGAUUGGGGUGAAGUCGUAACAAGGUAGC
rnacentral:rRNA from 1 species